GAUGAACGCUGGCGGCGUGCUUAACACAUGCAAGUCGAACGGAAAGGCUCCUGCUUGCAGGGGUACUCGAGUGGCGAACGGGUGAGUAACACGUGGGUGAUCUGCCCUGCACUUCGGGAUAAGCCUGGGAAACUGGGUCUAAUACCGGAUAGGACGAUGGUUUGGAUGCCAUUGUGGAAAGUUUUUCGGUGUGGGAUGAGCUCGCGGCCUAUCAGCUUGUUGGUGGGGUAAUGGCCUACCAAGGCGUCGACGGGUAGCCGGCCUGAGAGGGUGUACGGCCACAUUGGGACUGAGAUACGGCCCAGACUCCUACGGGAGGCAGCAGUGGGGAAUAUUGCACAAUGGGCGCAAGCCUGAUGCAGCGACGCCGCGUGGGGGAUGACGGCCUUCGGGUUGUAAACUCCGUUCGCUAGGGACGAAGCGCAAGUGACGGUACCUGGAGAAGAAGCACCGGCUAACUACGUG
rnacentral:rRNA from 1 species